rnacentral:rRNA from 1 species
AGAGUUUGAUCAUGGCUCAGAAUGAACGCUGGCGGCGUGCUUAACACAUGCAAGUCGAACGAGAAAGCCCUUCGGGGUGAGUAAAGUGGCAGACGGGUGAGUAACACGUGGGAAUCUACCUUUUAGUGAAGGAUACCUCCGAGAAAUCGGAGUUAAUACUGCAUAAGUCCCUUCGGGGAGAAAGACGGCCUCUUGCUGUCGCUAGAAGAUGAGCCCGCGGACUAUUAGCUUGUUGGUGAGGUAAAGGCUCACCAAGGCGGUGAUGGUUAACCGGCCUGAGAGGGUGUUCGGUCACAUUGGAACUGCGACACGGUCCAGACUCCUACGGGAGGCAGCAGUGGGGAAUAUUGCACAAUGGGCGAAAGCCUGAUGCAGCGACGCCGCGUGGAGGAUGAAUGUCUUCGGAUUGUAAACUCCUGUUAAGUGGGAAGAAAUCUUUGUGAGUAAUAUUCGCAGAGGAUGACGGUACCACUAGAGAAAGCUCCGGCUAACUUCGUGCCAGCAGCCGCGGUAAUACGAAGGGAGCAAGCGUUAUUCGGAAUUACUGGGUGUAAAGGGCGCGUAGGCGGUUAAUUAAGUCAGUUGUCAAAUUCCUUGGCUUAACCAAGGGUCGGCAGUUGAUACUGGUUGACUAGAGGGCAAGAGAGAGAAGUGGAAUUCUCGGAGUAGCGGUAAAAUGCGUAGAUCUCGAGAGGAACACCAGUUGCGA